rnacentral:rRNA from 1 species
UGUAAGCGUAUACCAAAGUUGUUGCAGUUAAAACGCUCGUAGUCGGAAUUUGGCAGUUCCGGAAGUGUGCACGUCGUGUGCGCACUUUGCGGGGACUGCUUUUGUGGUCUUGCGUAGGAUGAGGCACUUUCAUUAGUGAACGUCCUCACGCAACCACUCUUUACCGUGAGAAAAUCAGAGUGCUCAAAGCAGGCAUUUGCCGUGAAUGUAUUAGCAUGGAAUAAUAGAAUAGGACUCGGUUCUAUUUUGUUGGUUUGUUGGGACUGAGUAAUGAUUAAGAGGGACAGUUGGGGGCAUUUGUAUUCCGGCGCUAGAGGUGAAAUUCUUAGAUUGCCGGAAGACAAACUGCUGCGAAAGCGUCUGCCAAGGAUGUUUUCAUUGA